rnacentral:siRNA from 1 species
GUAGCGUGGGUACUCAUCUAGUA